UACGGGGGGGGGCAAGCGUUUGUUCGGAAUUACUGGGCGUAAAGCGCGCGUAGGCGGCUUUGCAAGUCGGGUGUGAAAUCCCCAGGCUUAACCUGGGAACUGCAUUCGAGACUGCAUUGCUAGAGUAUGGGAGAGGGAAGUGGAAUUUCCGGUGUAGCGGUGAAAUGCGUAGAUAUCGGAAGGAACAUCAGUGGCGAAAGCGACUUCCUGGACCAAUACUGACGCUCAUGUGCGAAAGCGUGGGGAGCAAACAGG
rnacentral:rRNA from 1 species